rnacentral:lncRNA from 1 species
CAGCUGGACUCAGUUUAGAUGAUCCCAAUUUUGGUGGCAACAUCCAAACGAUCAUAGUCAGGAUCCAGUCCAACACAUGCCUUCUUUUCUCCACCAGGCCUGAUCAGAGUGUUGACCUUGGCCAUGUCAAUGUCAUAGAGCUUCUUCACAGACUGUUUGAUCUGGUGCUUGUUGGUUUAGACAUCCACAAUGAACACAAGUGUGUUGUGGUCUUCUAUUUUCUUCUCGGCUGACUCGGUAGUCGGGGGGAACUUGAUGGCAUAGGGGUCAAGCUUGAUUCUCCUGGGGGUGCUCUUUGGAGGAUAUUGGGCUGCCUUUGGAGAUGCGGUAUCUUGGGCCGUCAGAAUGUAGGUGACCUCAGGAUCUUUUUUUAAAAAAUCACUGUGGGGGCGCCUGGGUGGCGCAGUCGGUUAAGCAUCUGACUUCAGCCAGGUCACGAUCUCACGGUCCGUCGGGCUCUGGGCGGAUGGCUCGGAGCCUGGAGCCUGUUUCCGAUUCUGUGUCUCCCUCUCUCUCUGCCCCUCCCCCGUUCAUGCUCUGUCUCUCUGUCCCAAAAAUAAAUAAAACCGUUGAAAAAAAAAAUUAAAAAAAAAAAUGACUGUGGAUGCCUUCCAGCACCGCUUUCUUGGCCUUCAGAACCUUUGCUUCGGUUUUGGCUUUGGCUUCGACUUUGGGAGGGGGAGGGGCUUCCUUCUUCACCUUUGGUACCAUCUUGGUGAAAACG